rnacentral:sRNA from 1 species
UAAUUGCAGAUUAUGAUGUGGUAAGCCG